GCAUAACGCGAAGAACCUUACCAAGGCUUGACAUGCAUCUCUAAGCGCGUGAAAGCGCGUGACCCUUCGGGGGAGUUUGUCACAGGUGCUGCAUGGCCGUCGUCAGCUCGUGUCGUGAGAUGUUGGGUUAAGUCCCGCAACGAGCGCAACCCUUGUGACUAGUUGCCAGCACGUUAUGGUGGGAACCCUAGUCAGACUGCCCAGAUCAACUGGGAGGAAGGCGGGGACGACGUCAGGUCAGUAUGGCCCUUACGCCUUGGGCUGCACACGUACUACAAUGCCCAGUACAAUGAGAACCGAGACCGCGAGGUGGAGGAAAUCUAAAAACUGGGCCCAGUUCGGAUUGGAGGCUGCAACUCGCCUCCAUGAAGUUGGAAUCGCUAGUAAUGGCGCAUCAUCUACGGCGCCGUGAAUACGUUCCCGGGUCUUGUACACACCG
rnacentral:rRNA from 1 species